UUACCNGAGUACUAUGAAUGUUGUAAAUUUAAAACUCAAAGAACUUGGCGGUGUUUUAGACCACUCAGGGGAACCUGUCUCGUAAUCGACAAUCCACGUUGUACCUGACCUUUUUUUGUUUUCAGUUUGUAUACCGUUGUCGUCAGGUAACUUUUUAGAAUACAGAAGUUGGCUGGAAAAAUAGAUAAUUUAGUACGUCAAAUCAAGGUGCAGCUUAUAGAAAGGGGAGGAUGGGUUACAAUUAUUAAUUUAUAAUUACGAAUGAUUAUGUUAAAGUGUAAUGUUAGAAGGAGGACUUGAAAGUAAAUUGGAUUUAUAAAAAUAAAUUUGAAUAAGGCUCUGAAACGUGU
rnacentral:rRNA from 1 species